UCUUGCCCUAAGGAAUCUAUUUGUCUUAUUUUCUUUCAGCUUCUAGCACAGUGUCUGAAAAUGGUAGCCACUCAAUAAAUAUUUGUUUAACAUAUUCUGAAGGCAGAAAUGGUUUCCGUUCAGCAAAUCCACACCAGCAAUCCUCUUACAGCAAAUUUCCAAGAAACAUGGUUGGAUAACAGUGCUGGACCUAAAAAAGGUGUUGGCCCACGAGUGCCUCUCUCUCCCUGCCUGAGCUCCCUGACCAGCAUGCGUGUGGCCUCCAGGUGUGUUGUCUACCCCCCAGGACCUAAUUCUCAGAGUUUCUCAAAUAUGAUGGGUAAACCGCCUGCAGAAAAAUCACCCGGGGCCUUGUUAAAACUGGAGAUCCCUGAGCCCAGCCCUGCAAGAUGGAGAGGAGAUUUAGAAUUCGGGAACAUGUUGUUUUAAUUCAGAACUCAGGGAAUGGUUAUAAAUAUUAAAGUUUGAGAACCACUGACGAUCAGGAUCUGUUGUGUACAUUAACACAAGUGGAAUUACUGUAAUAGGGAAAAACACUUCUACUUAAUAUACCCAAAAAUGAUAUACUUUAAAAAUCUCAAACCUGACUUCUUAAGCUGCUUUAAAGAAUGGUUUCUCUGUACAUUCCAAAUGGACUUUCACAUAUUUGCCCUCAGUGAUUUCUCAUGUAGCUUUGAAUCCUGGAGAACUACCCAAUAAUUAGUCUUAGAAACCAGUGAAGGUGGCCGGGCUUAGUGGCUCACACCUGUAAUCCCAGC
rnacentral:lncRNA from 10 species